UACGUAGGGUGCGAGCGUUUAAUCGGAAUUACUGGGCGUAAAGCGUGCGCAGGCGGUUUUGUAAGUCAGAUGUGAAAUCCCCGGGCUCAACCUGGGAACUGCGUUUGAAACUACAAGGCUAGAGUGUAGCAGAGGGGGUAGAAUUCCACGUGUAGCAGUGAAAUGCGUAGAGAUGUGGAGGAAUACCAAUGGCGAAGGCAGCCCCUGGGUUAACACUGACGCUCAUG
rnacentral:rRNA from 1 species